CCAAAUCCGACAAAUCAAAUCAGUUGCGACAAACAAGAAUGUAAAGAGGACACUAUUUGUUGAAAAUGAAACUUCAAAAACUCACAGCAAACAUGAUGAGGGGAGCCAACCACUGUCUACUAAUUCAACCAGAAUCUCGGCAGAAAUCUCUAACUUGGUUGUCCCAAAAGUUGAACCUGCAGACAAAACGCCGAUCAGUACAUUAAGAAGUAGAUCACAAGCAAAGAAAAUCAAGGACAGUGUUGGAGAUGUUCAUUCGCAAAAGAAAUGAGCUAUAGAAGACUUUAUCAUGGACUGCUGCAAAGGAUCGAACAUAUGUAUUUUUUGGC